rnacentral:rRNA from 1 species
UACGAAGGGGGCUAGCGUUGCUCGGAAUCACUGGGCGUAAAGGGCGCGUAGGCGGCCAUUCAAGUCGGGGGUGAAAGCCUGUGGCUCAACCACAGAAUUGCCUUCGAUACUGUUUGGCUUGAGUAUGGUAGAGGUCAGUGGAACUGCGAGUGUAGAGGUGAAAUUCGUAGAUAUUCGCAAGAACACCAGUGGCGAAGGCGGCUGACUGGACCAUUC